rnacentral:rRNA from 1 species
GACGAACGCUGGCGGCGUGCUUAACACAUGCAAGUCGAACGGCAAGGCCCUGCUUUUGUGGGGUGCUCGAGUGGCGAAGGGGUGCGUGACACGUGAGUAACCGGCCCUUGUUUUUGGGGUAGCUUAAGGAAAGUGGGGCUAAUACAGGAUAGGAGCUGCCGUUGCGUGGUGGGGGUUGGAACGUUUCGGCGGUUGGGGAUGGACGCGCGGCUUAUGACCUAGUUGGUGGGGUAGGUGCCUACCAAGGCUUUGACGGGUAGCCGGCUUGAGAAGGUGACCGGCCUCAUUGCGACUGAGAGACGGCCCAGACUCCUACGGUGGGCAGCAGUGGGGAAUAUUGCACAGUGGGCGGAAGCCUGAUGCAGCAACGCCCGGUGCGUGAUGACGUCCUUCGGGUUAAAAACCGCUGUCGCCUGUGACGAAGCGGGAGUGACGGUAAUGGGUAAAUAAGCACCGGCUAACUACGUG